UACAGAGGUGGCAAGCGUUGCUCGGAAUUACUGGGCGUACAGCGCACGUCGGCGGAUUGUUAAGUCGGGGGUGAAAUCCUGGAGCUCAACUCCAGAACUGCCUUCGAUACUGGCGAUCUCGAGUUCGGGAGAGGUGAGUGGAACUGCGAGUGUAGAGGUGAAAUUCGUAGAUAUUCGCAAGAACACCAGUGGCGAAGGCGGCUCACUGGCCCGAUACUGACGCUGAGGUGCGAAAGCGUGGGGAGCAAACAGG
rnacentral:rRNA from 1 species